UUGGGUUCUACGAAUAAAAAAACAAAAUUAUUAGAUAUUCUCCGACAAUUAUGGUGCGAGAAAUCAACGGGAAAUUAUUAUUCGCGUACGCUUUUGAUAAGUCUACAUCAAUACCAAGUUCCGAGUCGAAAACUGCAUACGAGAACAGCAUUUUUAUUCGCUUACUGCGUACAGCCACGAAAAUCGAAACUACUGGAUAAAUUUUCAUCAAGUCUUUUCAAUAAUAGUUAUUCGAUGUCUCGAAAUUAGGAUGUUAAUUGGGAAUACCUUUAUCCAAUCGAACGCGUGUAUAGAAAUAUUUUAAUUAUUGUGCAAAAACUAUUUUCUUUUGUUUAUUAAUAACAGAUUUGACAUGAAGCAUUCGAUGGUAUAGACUGGUUUUAAUGUUAAUCAUUCGAUAAGAUUGUUAUUUUUAGUAAUUUAGUUCUAGUAAAUACUGAAAAAAGCCUUGGCUUUAGA